CGUUGUGAUGUAAGAUGUUCGGAACUCAAACUGAUUCGCCUCCAACAAUACGGCAUAGCUGCAGUCACUGAAGUUCCAGGUGCUCGAGCUGUUGAAAUUUGAAUCAAACAAAACCUCAUAGUAUGUGAGGUCGUUGGGGAUGGCGGUUUGGCAGCAGCCGAUGUCGGAGCAUGAGCUGUUGACCAAACUCACCUCGUUGUGACACACAGACCCGCAACCGCUCCAGUAGGUGUCGUUCCUUUUCCAACCUCCGAUGUAGGCGAGGGUGUCGCAGCCGAUUACAGUGAACUUGUUGUGGACAUCGGAGAAUCUGUAUGGUCUGUUGGUGAAAUCCAGAGACCAGACAUAGCCGUAUCUGGAAUUGUUGCUAACGUUGUAACACUGCCACGAUAUUUCACUGAGCAUGCGUGCCUGGCCUAGUGGCAAUGAGAUAUUGGUGAUCUCGACGUUGGACAAAAAAAGUUUCUCGUGGCCAUCCAUUUUGUUGCAAUCUAGUGAGAAGCCUUCCCUAGAACAGUUAGGAUCGAUGCCAAAAGGGUAGGGGACGUCAACCUCGCCGCAUCUCCUUCGGCAGCCAGGCGGUGCAGCUGCUGCAGAUGCCGUUGCACCCACUAGCGGCAGCAUCAACAGCUGGAACAAGCGAUACCCUAACAGCACACCCAUCUCUCGAUUUGCACACUAGCAGAGAGGUACUCUUCAGAUAAAAGCUUGGACAAAUGAUAUGUUACGGAAACACCAAAGCCUAAAAUGAAGCUUCCUCUUGACUGAGCGAUGAGGUGCAAGAAAGCUGACCUUUUCCCAGUCAAUCAUUUAUUUAAAAAAAUUAUUUGAUUGCAUCACUGUCUAAUUUUUCUGCAAAACAAUCGACUCACAACUUUGAUCCACAAGGAUGAAGUUUGAUUGCAUCAUCAACAGGCGGCCUUAGUGACCACACACCCAUCUUUCGCUGCGAUCGACGCCACAUGCUGCAAAGUCGGGAACGCAUAACGACAUCAGACUACUAAUAAGAUGAUUCGACCCUUCAGAACAAUACAAGUACAAGCAAAGAAAAGUCCAUGGACUGCUAUCGAGCAUCCUCCUCCAGUGGAUUUUCAUGGACCUGUUCAAUAUUUUAUGGUACAUCAAGAGCAAGUGGUCGGUGGAUCCGUGGAUGACACCGGUUGAGAUGGAGAUGGAGAUGGUGUAAGCGACUUAUCAAUCACACCUGUUCAUGAUCGUUAAACGUUAGCUUCUUUGCCAAUUAAUUAUUCUCUGUGACAAUAAGAACACAAAGAAAAAAGACAUGGAUAAUAAAUGGCGUUCUUUGUCUGAACAGUGAGACGUCGCAAUUGGAGUUGUUGGCUGUUCUAGAUUAUUUAUACCAUUCCACUCCGAAUUGUUAGAUUAGAUAAUGAUGUCUCACACAUAGUGACAAGAAGAUCAUCCGAUCAUCUAACAUUUCCCGAAUGAUAAAAGCUCCACAACAAAUGCAAAAUGUUUAAAAUGAUAAUAUUUAGAUAACCAUUUUCUUACAUACAAGAUAACCAUUUAAAGCUUCCACUUCGUUGACCGAUGAGGUGCAAGGAACAUAACUCCUCCCUAGUUGCUCGGUAAAAAAUGAGUUUGAAUGUUAGGCUUGUGAACGAUGACCAAUUCCUCUAAGUAUAUUUUCGUGGACCUAUUUGAUUCCCAUGUUGCAAUUGGUGUUCUUGGUUAUUCAACCAAUGACUAAUCAGCUGAUAGGUCUUUUCAUGACAAUACUCUUUCGUAGUACAAGAAGAACUAGCGAUUGAUGGAUGAUGAUGCUAGUUGAGAUGGACCUGGAGAAGGAAAAUAAUCACAUCUAUUUUGGUGUUUGUGCAAUUUUCUUCCAACGAUGGUUUGUCCUGUGCCUGGCAAUUUGUCUCCAGCUUCUUUGUCAAUGUCUUCUUCUUCCACAAAGGACUACUGAUUGAUGGAUGAUGGGUCCUUGAAAAUAACUGUUAAUGACUUGGGAUGGUCAAAUAUUUUUUUAUUCUCUCUUCAAUUUAAUAAUUGUUUUAAGUUACGAUAGCCAUCUAUGGUUUUUACAAGUGGAGAUCAUAUCAUUUGUCAGCUACAGAGCAUCCUCUCCCUCGGUAUAUUUUCAAGGAAACCUUAAAUUCCUACAUUGUAAUUGACGUUCUUGGUUUUUCUGCACAAACUUCAAAAGAAAAACCAGUGAUUGAUGUAUGAUGGUCGAGAUGGACAUGGCAAAUGCAACAAAAUUCUUCAAAAACUGGUCUUAUGCAUUCAACUUCUUUCGUAAGUAAUGUCGAUUGCAUAUGUUCAUCCAUGUCUUUUGUGCACCUUGUGGUGUUUGUAUGGUGAUUCGUUAUCCUUUUCGUUUUUAAGGCAUAUAUAUAUCCUUGUAAAGUUUGGAAAUUAUAUAUUUGUUAUCAUAACAUACACAUCCUUCACAAAUAUCACUUUAAUAUGGCAUAUUACCUUUAAUUUGCUUUUGGUCAUUCUUCCUGUUACUGUGAAUAAAACAGGAAAGGUCUUCAUUUCUCAUGUACAUACGUAUUCCUCACUUGCUAUAUUGUUUGUUCAGUUAAAUCUUGUAGAAACCUUAUGACUCUAUCAUGAUUUACAUACUUCUAUUACCAAUCAAAAGAUAAGAUGACAGAAUCAACCAGGAAUAAAAAACAUGCAGAAUAAUAGCGAAUUAAUAGGUUAGAACAUUCAGUGGUUGAGAAUGAUUUCACAUACCUCUGAAGGAGACCGAGGAGCUUGAAUGCCCUGCCGGACACACUACGGAAGACAAUUCGCCAAUCCUGGCACCGUCGUCGAGAUCCAUGCCUAAAGCUUCCGAGCGCAAACAUCCUUAUCGGGGGGAGACCUGCCCACCGAGCCAUCGUCGUCGAUGUCGGAGCACGAUCAUCGGCUCUAGGGAAGAAGCGCCAGAUUAGGGCUGCGCCGACAUUGCCCCAAGAAGCGGGGAAUCGCCUAGACGCAAAUGGCACACCAGGUUGGGUACUUCUUACACAUCAUACUAGGGCUAUGAUUCAUUGUCGAUUCGGUGAGGAUUGUAAGGGUCGUCGAUUGGUAAGCAGCAACGAUGCCCGGAGGAAAGCGAGGGGCUGAGGCAGUGCGGAGGAACGGGACAUUGCCGGUGGAGGCCCAGUGAGGGUUCCUCCUCUACCUGUCGACGCUGUCGCUUGAAUCUGCGGUUCUUCCAUGAUGAGUGGACACCGCUGAUCAUAAGGUGUUCGAAAACUUAAAAGGCUCCUUAAACACACAGAUCUCCACUACAUAAAAGCUCUUUAAGCCUUACAACUACUGCUGGCAUUUCGAAUUAUUAAUAUUGAAGAUUAUUUAAUGAAUUACAAUUUUUACACAUGACAUCACUUAACUCGUUUUUAGAAAAUAAGACUAUAACAAUUUUUUUAGAAUAUUUACCAAAUUAUUAUGCAUUUCUUUACAACAAAUAGUCCUCCAAUAUCUUUGUUUCCUCUUCGAUCUAAGUCAAAUCUCGAAAGAAAUUUCAUGUGGACACCACUUCAUGAUCCCGAAAAGAAAGAAAAUAAUUACACAUUUAUAAUUUGAAACAUGUUCUUCAUCAAACCUAGUCAAAAUCCGACUUAAUAGAAUAUCAAAUUGAGUGGAUCAACGAAUCAUCAAUGAUAGGGAGGAAAAAAUACGACACAUAACCCCCACAUGGAGUCCUGAAUAGGAGAAAAAGAUCUACAUCACCUUUCACGCAUCUAUCCACGUGGAUAAGAGUCCAAAACACAUCAAGGCAAGCGGUUGAGGCUUGUCUCGUCUUAUCACCCAUAUGGACAAGAGGUCAAGAAGAUACUAUUAAGAGUGGUUAGAGACUGCUCCCCCUCUGUGACCAAAUAUAAAAAUUCAUCAUCAACAUAAUGAGCUAAGACCUUUUUGAUCACUCACAUCCAUACUCAUAUACCUCAUGUUGCUAACUUAGCAUCGAAGGAAUCGAAUCGGGAAACCUCUCUCAAUCUUGAUAUUCGUGCAAACGGUACCUUAGAAACUUGACAUUUCUAGGAGGUACAUCGGAUAAUCCAACAUAUAUGAGUCUGAAUCAUGUCGGGUUGACCUGGAUACUAAUGACUUCUUCACCUAACAUUUUUGACGAAGAAGGGCUCGAUGUUAUAAAAAUGCCAGCUAGUCAACCCUCUUAAUGAAUGCUUGAGCAACAAUAUUUUGCCCUUGACCCAUAGCACUUUUACUUAUGGAGGCAAUAGCCACUAAAGCCACAUAUGGAUACAUCCAUUUUGGUACAAACGCUAGUGCAGCAUCGACAUUUGUUCAACAACCCAGGCCUCUCAAUCCCGAAGAUAAUCUUGAGCCAUCUACUCUUUCUAAUUGAGAUGUUCUUGAAUCUUACCCAACAUGUGCAGACACUAAUGAACAUUAUACAAUUCGUCACUUCACUUUUGCCCUAGCUAGCCUAACAAACGAAACCACCUUGGCUCAUACUAUGUGCAGUCAUGAUCAAUAACUCAACCACCAUCGACACCCGCAUCUAUCAAGGUCCCCUCAUACGAUGUGAUGCUUACAUCCUAAGAACACCUUGGCUCGUUGAGCCAUUGGCUGAGGGAGCCAGACAAUUGGCAAAUUUUAUUAUAUAUAUAUAUAUAUAUAUAUAUUCCUGAGCCAAAGAAGCUUUGGCUCUGAUCAUAUCAUUAGCAUGCAUGGCCAGAUUGAUUCCCGUGUUUAGUUUAAAUGAUUUAGAUUAGAAUUUCGUUUGACAAAGUCAUAUUCAACAAUUUGAAAGAAGCCAGAAGAGAAAUUGCCAGACGUAUGUGACAGAAAUAUUACAAAGCUGCUUGAUACACAGAACAUAGGAACCCUAUUGUGAUUUCACAGCAUCAAUCCUUUUCAACAUGUGUAACUCAACAGUGGCUGGACUAGAAAUAUAUAACAAGGCCAAAUUACCUACCAAAUUGACUGUAAGAUCCAUCAGUGGAUAGAGGUCAAUCCAAGUGCUAACCAUUCUUCACAUACACCUUUCCUUAAUCUUGAUGAACUUUCUUCUUUAAAAAAUCAUAUAGAUACACAUGCAGAAUAUUAGUAGAAAGAUCAAGCCAUUGCCAGUACCUGUAUCUCAAAAAUUUUCAGACCAAUUAAAAGCAGGAAGAGAAAUAAAAAUUAUGUUUUUUAUGCACAUUAUGUUGGUUUUAUAGUUACUGGUAACAAUAACACAAGCAUGGUCAUAUUUAUGCUAUGCAUUUCUGCUGCUAUUAUCCUAUGAAUGGAUUAUUUUUAAUUAGACUUUCCUAAGGAAAAAAAGGGUUAAUAAUAUAUUACUCUAUGUAAUUAGUUAUCUUUAAUAUUUUAAUUUUUAUACUUUUAAAAGUUAUAUUAGGAUUCUCCUAUUUACGAAAGUGAAAUAUAUAAUUUUAUUUCUCCUUAUUUUUGACAAAAAUACUACACGUGCUCAAUGAUAAACCGAAAUAAGACAGAGUUAACAUGUGCUCAAUGGUAAACUAUAUGAUAUUUUAGUUCGUAGAGUCAACGACGACGUGAGAAGAAAUAAGAUUAAAUAUUUUACUUUCUUAUUACUUUAGAGAUCGUAAUGUAACUUUUGAAAGUAUAAAAAUCAAAAUGCUAAAGAUAAUUAAUUACAAAAGAUAAUUUAUGAUUAGAUCUAAAAAAAACACACAGCCAAAGGUGUGAACUCAUGACAGAAGUUGAAAAAAAAAAAUAAAGAUUAAGAACCUUCAAUAAUAGGGAUAAACAUGGAGACUUUGUUAACGAUAAAAGUUCUUCGAGGUUAUGUAAUCAAACCCGGUUCGCUGAUGAAAGCAGUACCGACAAUUAUGAAUUUAACAUAAUAUUGAUCAUUCUCAAGUAAAUACACUUUCUUGUGUGUGUGGAUCAAAAAAUUAUCAGCUACUUGGAGAUGGUACAAGACAAUAGAAUAUAAAAUCGAAUAAGGCUAUUGUCAUUAGUACCCUCUCUAUAAGAUACACCUAUAGUCUCUAGUGCAGGUAGAUUAAAAGGAUUUGAAGUAAUGGAACAAAAGAAUUCAUUCGUAAUACUUGGCAUCAAAUAUGUUUGGAGAUCCUCGACAAAGACAAAAGUCAUGGUGGAAAAAAGACUCUUACCUACAGCCACCUUCGCUGAUGAUUGAAGUUUCUGCUGUUGGGUGCAUGUUCCAUUGAAGGCAUCACCAUGUGUACCUGGCGGGCAGAAACAAUUGUAGCUACCGGGCAGGUUCUUGCAGGUGCCAUGGCAAGGAUAUCGAUCUUUAUCAGAACAUUCGUCGAUGUCUGCAAGUAAAACAUAUUCGCGAGUAUCAGAAACAAAAUCAUGAAAACUGAAAAGGCAAGCAGAUCCCUGAAAGAGACGAGACUUAACAGACCUUGGCAGCCAUGAGCGACAUAAGGAUUGCCAUGGUAGCCACUCGAACAGUUACAAAGAUACCCAGGACCAUUGGAAGAGUUCAAGCACUCGCUGUGCUCGCUGAUGCAGGCGUACGAGGUUAUGUUGCGCUGUGCUACCUCGCAUGUCUCGUUUCCGAUCGCCCAAUCCACCACCAAAGGAGCCUUGCCGUUGUUGUUGAACCAGAAUUGGGUCGUUGUGAUGUAAGAUGUUAGGAACUCAAACCGAUUCGCCUCCAACAAUACGGCAUAGCUGCAGUCACUGAAGUUCCAGAUGCUCGAGCUGUUGAAAUCUGAAUCAAACCAGACCUCAUAGUAUGUGAGGUCCUUGGGGAUGGAGGUUUGGCAGCAGCCGAUGCCGGAGCAUGAUGAGCUGUUGACCAAACUCACCUCGUUGUGACACGUAGACACGCAACCGCUCUGGUAGCUGUCGGCCCUUUCGAAAUCUCCGAUGUAGGCGAGGGUGUCGCAGCCGAUCACAGUGAACUUGUUGAGGUCGUCGGAGAAUCUGUAUGGUGUGCCGACGAAAUUCAGAGACCAGAGAGAGGAUUCCAGAGACUUGCUGCUAACGUUGUAACACUGCCACGAUAUUUCAUUGAGCAUGCGUGCCUGGCCAAGUGGCAACGAGAUAUCGGUGAUCUCGACGACGGACAAAAAAAGUUUCUCGAGGCCAUCAUCCGUUGUGUUGCAAUCUAGUGAGAAGCCUUCCCUCGAACAGUUAGGACCAAUGCCAAAAGGGUAGGGGACGUCAAUCUCGCCGCAUCUCCUUCGGCAGCCAGGCGGUGCAGCUGCUGCAGAUGCCGCUGCACCCACUAGCGGCAGCAUCAACAGCUGGAACAAGCGAUACCCUAACAGCACACCCAUCUCUCGAUUUGCACACUAGCAGAGAGGUUCUCUUCAGAUAAAAGCUUGGACAAAUGAUAAGUUAUGGAAACACCAAAGCCUAAAAUGAAGCUUCCUCUUGACUGACCGAUGACGUGCAAGAAAGCUGACCUUUUCCCAGUCAAUCGUUUAUUUAAAAAAAAAAAUUUUGAUUGGUUCACUGUAUAAUUUUUCUGCAAAACAAUCGACUCACAACAUGGAUCCAAAAGGAUGAACUUUGAUUGCAUCAUCAACAGGCGGCCUUAGUGACCACACACCCAUCUUUCGCUGCGAUCGGCGCCACAUGCUGCGAAGUCGGGAACGCAUAACGACAUCAGACUAUUGAUAGGAUGAUUCGACCCUUCAGAACAACAAAAGUACAAGCAAAGAAAAGUCUAUGGACUGCUAAUGAGCAUCCUCCGCCAGUGGAUUUUCAUGGACCUUUUCAAUAUUUUAUGGUACAUCAAGAGCAAGUGGUUGGUGGAUCCGUGGAUGACACCGUUAGAUUCUUUGCCAAUUAAUUAUUCUUUGUGACAAUAAGAACACAAAGAAAAAAGACAUUGAUAAAAAAUGACGUUCUUUGUCUGGACACAGAUGUCGCAAUUGGAGUUGACAUGGCUCACCUUGCCACCCUCCUCGUCUUCCUGCCUGCGAUAGGGCGGUGUACAAUCUUGUAGGCGCCUCUCCAUAAGCCCAUCCAAGGCCCCGGGAAGAACCGCCAUCAUCGCCCAAAAUGGAGCAACCAGAGCUGGGUGGAGGCGGCUAAAGAAUCCUCCGCUACCUGCUGCCGUCGUUGCACGUGAAAAGCGGCGGUUAUCAUUAUCGGCAGAGAGAACGCCACCAUAGCUUCUUUAUCAAUCAUUUCUUCAAUUUGAAAAAAGAACAUAAAGAAACAAAAAGAUAUGAAUAAGAAAUGACGUUCUUUGUCUGGACAGAGAGAUGUCGCAAUUGGUGUUCAAGUUUAUUCUAGAUUAUUUAUACCAUUCUAUUCUGAAUUAUUAGAUUAGAUAUUGAUGUCUCAGAAAUAGUGACAAGAAGAUCAUCCGAUCAUCUAACAUUUCCCGAAUGAUAAAAGCUCCGCAACCAAUGCAAAAUGUUUAAAAUGACAAUAUUUAGAUAACCAUUUUCUUGCAUACAAGAUAACCUUUUAAAGCUUCCACUUCAUUGACCGAUGAGGUGCAAGGAACACAACUCCUCCCUAGUUGCUCGGUAAAAAAUGAGUUUGAAUGUUAGGCUUGUGAACGACGACCAAUUCCUCUCAAGUAUAUUUUCAUGGACCUAUUUCAUUCCCAUGUUGCAAUUGGUGUUCUUGGUUAUUCGACCAAUGACUAAUCAGCUGAUAGGUCUUUUCAUGACAAUACUCUUCCGUGGUACAAGAAGAACUAGUGAUUGGUGGGUGAUGAUGCUAGUUGAGAACCAGCUUCGAAGCUCCAAAAUUAGAAACUUUUGAUGCAUAAUUUUCAUCAAGUAUGUUGGAAGACUUCACGUCGCCAUGAAUGAUGGGAGACGAAGUUGAUGAAUGCAAGUAGGCUAGAGCAAUCCUCAGGCGGGUGGCCAAGGAAAAGGGAGAUACAUUGUUGUUGUCGUGGAUCAGCCGGAACAAGGUCCCGUUCGAGACAAACUUCGGAACCUCCACUUCCAAGCAACAACCCAAGAGCUUGGCUAUGUUCUAGUGGUUGAUCUGCGAUAGAAUAAGCAACGCUUUUCCAAAUUCGUUCUUUUGGCUCUCAUCAAAGAUCUUAGGUUUUUUGAUGGCAACGACUUGCCUGUCCUCGAAGACUCCUCUGUAAACGGUAUCAUGUCCUCUUCUGAGAUCAAAUGUGUUAUGAGAUCCUCGACAAAGAUGAAAGUCAUGGUGGAAAAAGGACUCUUACCUAUAGCCUCCUUCGCUGAUGAUUGAAGUUUCUGGUGUUGGGUGCAUGGUCCAUUGAAAGCAUCACCGUGUGUGCCUCGCCGGCAGAAACAAUUGUAGCUACCGGGCAGGUUCUGGCAGAUGCCAUGGCAAGGAUUUUGAUCUUUAUCAGACCAUUCGUCGAUGUCUGCAAUUAAAGCAUAUUCGGCAGUAUCAGAAACAAAAACAUGAAAACUGAAAAGGCAAGCAGAUCCCUGAAAGAGAAGAAACUUAACAGACCUUGGCAGCCAUGAGCGACAUAAGGAUUGCCAUGGUAACCACUCGGAACAGUUACAAAGAUACCCAGGACCAUUGGAAGAGUUCAAACACUCGCUGUGCUCGCUGAUGCAGGCGUAGGAUGUUAUGUUGCGCUGUGCUACCUCGCAUGUCUCGUUUCCGAUCGCCCAAUCCACCACCAAAGGCGCCUUGCUGCUGCUGUCGUUCAAGAAUCGGUCCGUCGUGAUGUAAGAUGUUAGGAACUCAAACCGAUUUGCCUCCAACAAUACGGCAUAGCUGCAGCGACCGAAGUUCCAGAUGCUCGAGCUGCUGAAAUUUGAAUCAAACCAGACCUCAUAGUAUGCCAGGUCCUUGGGGAUGGAGGAGCCUCGGCAGCAGCCGAUGCCGGAGCAUGAGCUGUUGACCAAACUUACCUCGUUGUCACACACAAACACACAAACACGACGGUCGUGAUGGGAUAAAUAAAUAAAUAUAAGUAAGUCGUAAUACAUAAUAAAAUUAAAUAGAAUCGCAAUCAAGUAAGACAUCAAGAUUUACGUGAAAAACCACUCCAACAUGAAGGGUAAAAAUCAUGGGGCAAACUAGAGAAAAUUUAUUAUAAAAAUAAUAAAUAUACAAAUCUCAAAGUUUCUUGCCCAAAAAUCAAGCAAUAAUCACAAGAGAAUAAUUGAGAUAUGAGGAUUACGUCAUUUUGCAUAAUAUUCAAAAUCUCCUCAAGUAAUCACAGCAAUAAUUGACUGUAGAUCUGAUCUAAUUUGAGACGAGAACACUACCUGAAUGAUUGAAAACAGUCUCUCUGUGUUGUCCUUGUCUUCUUCCCUUUUCUUCUCUUGUUUUUCUAUAAUUUUCUCCUAUUUUUGAAUUACGUUACUGCUAUAAUUUUUUGCCCCUAUUGCUAUAGUUUUCUCUCUUUGUUGCUAUAGUUUUCUGCCUCCUUUUCAUAGUCACCACACCCCCCUUAUUAGAUCUAGGUUUACAUUAAAAGAGAAGUGGACUAUGGGCUAUUAAAGCCCACUAUGGGCUAAGCUCAUGGGCUGUUAAUCCAACAACCUCCCCUUUCAGCCCAUAAGGGAGGCUGUCCCAUGACUCCUCAACGUGAAACCAUGUCGAUCAACCGUCGACACAUCUCCUGCCUUUUUUUCGAUAAGGUCUUUGUCAACAUAUCUGCUCUAUUAUCAUCUAUAUGAAUUUUCUAAAGUUGCAACUACUUCUCUUCAAGUAUAUUUCGAAUCCAAACAUCUAUAUGCUUUGACUUAGAAUGAAAAGUUGGGUUCUUACACAAAUAAAUGGCUCUUUGGCUAUCAUAAUGUACCACAUAGUUUUUUUAUUUCAGCCCCAAUUCUUGUAAAAAUUCUUUAUCUAUAACAUUUCUUUGUAAACCUUUGUAGCAACAAUAUAUUCUGACUUUGUGGUGAAGAGACCAAUACACCUUUGUAAUUUGGAUUGUCAUGACAUAGCUCCCCCUACAAAAAUAAGUAUAAAACCUGAUGUGGAUUUCCUUGUAUCUAUAUCUCUUGCCAUAAUUGUAUUUGUGUAACAUGUCAACAUAGAUCGUCCACCUCCAAAGCUUAAACAAACUUUAUAGUAUCUAUAUCUCUUGUCAUAAUUGUAUUUGUGUAACAUGUUAACACAGGUCGUCCACCUCCAAAGCUUAAACGAACUUUAUAGCUCCUUCUGAUAUAUCUAAAGAUCCACUUCACUAUUGCCCAGUGCUCCUUGUUUGGAUUUACAAGAAAUAUGCUAGUAACACCUACUGCAUAUGCAAUGUCCGACCUUGUACAUAUCAUCGUGUACAUUAAACUUCCAACUGCUAAAGCAUAAGAAACCUUUUGCAUAUUCUUCUUCUCCAUCACUUGACGGACUCUAUUCUGAGCACAACUUGAAGUGACCUGAAAGAGAAGAACUAAUUGGCUUUGCAUUGCUCAUACUGAACCUCUCUAAUAUAUUCUCGAUGUAUUUCUCUUGUGACAACCAAAUCUUCUUGUUUUUUCUAUCACGGAAAUUUGCAUACCUAGUAUUUGCUUUGCUGGCCCCAUGUCCUUUAUUGCAAAGGAUUUACUCAGUUUCAUCUUUAACCUGUCAAUUAUAGACAUACAUUUCCUAAAGAUAAACAUGUCAUCAACAUAAAGCAAGAGAAUAAUAAAAUCCUCACAAAACAAUUUGAUGUACACACAAUGAUCUGAAGCCAUUCUUUUAUAUCAAUUUUCAAUCAUAAAUGAAUCAAACUUUCUGUACCACUAUCUUGAAGCUUGCUUCGGCUUAUACAAGCUCUUUUUCAAAUUGUAGACAAAAUUUUCUUUACCUUUGAUUUUGAAGCAUUCUAAUUUCUCCAUAUAAAUUUUCUCCUCUAAAUCACCAAGAAGGAAAGCUGUCUUUACAUCCAACAACUCAACCUCCAAGUCUAGGCUAGCAACAAUACCAAAAGCAACACGAAUAGAAGCAUUUUAACAAUAGGAGAAAAAAUAUUUUCAAAGUCAAUAUGUUUCUUUUAAUCAAAGUCUUUCACAACCAAUUUAGCUUUGUAUCUUGUCUUUCACAUCCAUCUCUUUCUGCAUAGCAACUAACUACUUCUUUUUCUGUUCACUUUCAACUGCUUUCUGAUAACUCUCUGAUUCACUUGCAUUAGUAAGCAUCAUAUACUCAUAUGUAGAGUAUCUUUUGGAAGGUUGACGUUAUCUAAACCGUGGUUCCGUGGGAAGUUGCUCUCUAGCUUCUUCUUGCUCAACAUGUCCUACAGGUAGAUCAACAUCGGACUCUCCACUAUCUUCCUGCACAUCUCCCCCAUCACCCUGAUAUAUUGGAGGAGUAAUUCGAUCAAAAUAUGCUAAUCCUUCUACAUAAGUCUUGGCUGGUGCCUCCUUCAAAUCCUAUAGGGUUUGAUCCUCAAAGAAGACAACAUCUCUGCUUCAAAUUACUUUCUGCUUUUUUAGAUCCCAAAACCUGUAACCAAACUGAUCAUGUGAGUAGUAAAAAAAAAUAUAUUAUUUUAUCUUACCAUCUAGCUUAGACCUCUUAUUGUUUAUAACGUGUGCAAAUGCAUGACAACCAAACACUCACAAAUACUUGUAGGAAAUAUCUUUUCUAAACCAUAUAUGCUCUAGAACAUCAUCAUCUAGGGUUGUACAAGGUGACAAGUUGAUCGUAUCAAUUGCAGUCCUCAAAGCUUCAUCCCAAAACUUUUUGGGUAGCUUAGCCUUUGAAAGCAUACAUCUGAUAUUUUCCAUGAUGUUGCAAUUCAUCCUCUCUGCAACAACAUUAUGCUAAGGUGUACUAUAAACUUUCAUCUCAUUGUGGAUGUCAUGCGACCUGUAAUAAUCAUUAAACAAUUCAGUGUACUCACCACCAUUAUCUGAUCUUAUACAUUUCAAUUAUCUUUUUGUCUCCCUUUCAACUUUAGCAUAAAACUCUUUGAUGACAUUAAUAACCUGAUAUUUGAUCUUCAUAGCAUCGGCUCAAACUUUCCUAAAAUAGUUAUAUAUAAAAGUAGCAAAAUAAAGUACACCAAUGAUACCAAGAACAUUAAUAGAUCCACCAUGAGUUUUUAUCCUCAAAUGAUCAUAUACAUAUAUGUAAACAUGAUCUAAGGCAUAUAUUUUUCUAGAGAAAGCAUGACUAGCAAAGAAAACUCUAUAUUGUUUACCGACCAAACUAUCAAUAUAAGGGUUCAAACGUGUACCUCUGAGGUCUAACAAUACCUCUCUCUUAGAAAGAGCUUGCAACCCCUUCUUGCUCAUAUGUCCUGAUUGCUUAUGCCACAACUCAAUGCUGAAGUCUUUUUCUGUAGCAUUUAACUACUCACCAUAAGUUUUGGCCUAUAAUUUAUAUAAAAUAUAACAUUUCUUUCCACUAGCCACAAUAAGAGAACCCUUACUGAGCUUCCAUUGUCCUCUGUGAAAUCUGCUAUCAUAGUCUUCAUCAUCUAGUCUUCUAACUAAAAUUAAAUCCAACCUUAAGUCAAUCACAUGUCUCACAUCCUUCAGCACUAACUUGUAGCCAAGGUAGGUCUUUAUGUGGAUAUCACUCAUGCCAAUGAUGUCUACCAUGUCAUAGUUGCUUAUCUUGACAACACCAAAAUUUUCAGACAUGCAGAUAGCAAAAAACUUCCUCCGUGGUGUAGCAUAAUAAGAAGCACCUAUGUCAAUCACUCACUCAAGAUCCUAACACACACAACAAAAAAUAUCAUCAAAAGGAGACAAAAUCAAAUAAUCACCGCCCUGCACUAUAGCUAUAGUAUUAUCUUUUAACUCUGUAGACUCCACUUCUUUUUCCUUUUUUCUUACUCUUUUUAGGUUGCUUGCAUUCGUUCUUGUAAUGUCCUUUCUCACUAUAGUUAUAGCAAAUAAUAUCUUUUCUUGAUCUUGACUUGCUUCUACCCAUGCGUGAACUGCUUCUAUCCUUGGACUUUGAUCUUCCUUUGUUCUUUGAGAUAAGUGCCUUUGAAUUAUUCUGAGAUGUUGUUGAAUUCUUUCUUCUCAACUCCUCAUUCAAUAAACUGCUUGUUACUUGACUCAUGGUGACAACACCAUCUAGCGCAGAAUUACUAUGGGAAACCACCAAUGUCUCCUAACUUUUUGGUAAAGAACUGAGAAGUAACAAUGCUUGUAACUCAUCAUCAAGAGACAUUUUAUUAUAAGAUAACUGGUUAGUAAUUCUUGGAUUUCAUUCAAAUGCUCAACAAUAAAAGCACCCUAUUUAUAUUUUAGGUUUGCAAGUUCUCUGAUCAAGAAAGCUUUGUUGUCAGUUGUUUUUCUAUCACAGAGAUUUUUCAACUUUUUUCAAAGAGAGUAUGCAGAACUUUCAGUAGAAACAUGGUGAAAGAUAUUGUCAUCGAGCCAUUGUCGAAUAAACCCGACUAUUUUUUGGUCUAAUCUCUUCCACCCAUCAUCUGUCACAGUUGUGAGUUUUGCACCAUCCCCUUGCAAAGGUUCAUACAAAUCUUUGUAAUACAAGAGAUCUUCCGUUCUUAGUUUUCAUAUCAUCCAAUUAUUUCUAUUCAAGCUAAUCAUGCGAGAAACAUUACCGGCCUCUAUGUUCGAAUACAAAAAAUAAAUCACCAAAACCAUACUCCGAUACUAAUUGAUGGGAUAAAAAGAGAACUUUGUAUACGAACAAAUACAAGUAGGCCGUAACAUAUAGCAGAAUUAAAUAUAAUCAUAAUAAAAUAGGACAACAAGAUUUAUGUGGAAAACCCCUCCAACGUGAAUGGUAAAAACCACGGGGCAAACCAUAGAAAAUUCACUAUAAAAAUAAUGAAUGUGCAAAUCUCAAAGUCUCUUGCCGAAAACCCAAGUAACAAUCACAAGAAAAUAACUGAGAUACAAUUAUUAUGUCACUGUAUAUAAUAUUCAAAAUCUUUUCAAAUAAUUACAGCAAGAAUCUAUUGUAGAUAUGAUCUAAUAUGAGAUGAGAACACUACCUGAAUAAUUGAGAAUAAUCUCUCUACGUUGUCCUCAUCUUUUUCUCUUUUCCUCUUUUAUUUUUCUAUCAUUUUCUUUUUUUUUUAAAUCAUGUUGUUGCUAUAGUUUUCUGCCAUCAUUACUAUAGUUUUCUCUCUCCGUUACUAUAGUUUUUGUCUCUUUUUCACAACCACCACACCUUCUUAUUAGAUUUAGGUUUAUGUUAAAAUUGAGAUAUGCUACGGGCCGUUAAAGCCUAUUAUAAACUGAACUCAUAGGCUAUCAGCCCAACGGGUCUCUGCAGCCGAUUAACUAUACAGUGUGUCGACCAAAUCGAGAGACCAGAAGUUGCAGUCCACGGAAUUGUUGCUUACGUUGCAACACUGACACUAUAUUUCGUUGAGCAUGCGUGUCUGUCCUAGCGGCAAUGAGAUAUCGGUGAUCUCGACGUUGAACACAAAAAGUUUCUCGAGGCCAUCAUCCAUUGUGCUGCAAUUUAGUGAGAAGUCUUCCCUCAAACAGUUAGGACCGAUACCAAAAGGGUAGGGGAUGUCAAUCUCGCCACAUCAUGUUGGGCAGCCAGGCAGUGGACCUGCUGCAGAUGCCACUGCACCCACUAGCGGUAGCAUCAAGAGCUGGAACGAGUGAUCUUCGUAACUGCUUAUUUAACAGCAACCUGACAAUCGAAGCAAUUCUUCCAUCAAACAAUGCACUAACACUUCCCAUUAGAUUGUGAAAAUUAAUAUAUAGUCGUGAUUGUGCAUUCUUUCAUGUUGUCAGUCAAUGAUUUUGCCUCCUUGUCUCCUAAAUCCUCUUCACAAAUGAAUUCAACUCAGUAUCAGUGUUAUCCCAUUUAGACCCUAACACUUCCAUAACCAAAUUCCUGACAUUAGCUUAAUGCAUGCAAAUUUCUUUUUCUUAAAUUCUUGUGAAUAGUUCUCAACAAAUCUCUUUGGAGGUAUGCCCUUAUGCUGCAUCAGUGCCUGUGCCUAAUUGAUACUCACAAAGUUGCUGCAAGUUUUGGUACGUUAGGAACAAGCCAUCUUACUCAUGCAGAUAAACAACUCCUUUGUUUACCUGAGUUCAUGGAAUGGUUGAGAAUUAUUUCACGUAGCUUGGAUUCUCUCCUGGACAUACCUCGGAAGACAAUUCGCCAAGCCUGGUGCUGUCGUCAAGACCCACGUCUGAAACUUCUGCGCAGAAACUCCCUUAUCGACCGUCGAAACAUCGGAUCUCCAAAUGUGCUCAUCUUCCUCCGCGAUCACACCGCACGAAAACACUAGCAAAUGGCUCAUGUCAGGGAGCACCAAAGGAUCCUUUGCGUUUCUGGACAUCUUCGCGAUCCUCGAAGAAUGCCCCAUGACCCAGCAGAUCCGGAAAAUCAUGAGCACCUCUCCCGGCAAGAGAGACCCGCCCACCUUAUCAUGGUCGCCAGCAUCGGGAUCGAACUCCAAGCCGCAAGGCGCUCCGGCUUCCCGGGACAGGGCGGCGUACAAUCUGUAUAGCACGUUAAUGGUAAUAGAAUAUGAAAUGUAAUUACAAACUAUGUUCAAGAUAGUAAAUUUAAUGACUAUUUAUACAUAGGAUUUUGCUCAAUUGCUUAGUGAGAUUUUCUCAUACAGUUAAGGAAAUUUUAUAUGUUAUAAUGCCCCCAUAAGAUUGAGUUUCUAUCAAGGAUAUCGAUCUUAGACUGAUACAAUAAAAAUAGUUUAUGAGCGAGAGGUUUUGUGAGUGAGUCUGCUAGUUGAUUAGUUGUAUGUACGUGAGAAACACGUAGUUGAUGUCUAAUAACUUGAUCUCGCACGAAGUGGAAGUCGACGGCAAUACAUUUCAUGUGGGAGUGGAACAUUGGAUUGACACAUAAGUAUGUAUCUUUAAUAUUAUUACAAUAUAUUAUAGGAGAAACGAUAGAGUUGACGUUGAGUUCCUUGAGCAGAUUUAUGACCCAAUUGAGUUCUGGCAGUGGCGAUGUCAUGGUAUUCAAUUUCAAUUGUAGACCGUGCGAUUGUCUUUUGUUUUUUAGAACUCCAGCUAAUUAGAUUCGCUCCAAGGAAGAUAAUAUAACAUGACAUAGAUAUUCUAUCAUCAAAGUUCCCUUCCCAAUCAGCAUCAAUAAAGGCAUGGAGAUGGAGUGAAGCGUUUUUGCAGAGAAAAAGACCAUGAUUGAGGGUCCCUUUAAGAUACUGCAAAAUUCAUUUAACCGUGGACCAAUGCAUAAAUUGUGAUAAUUUAUUGACUACAAAUGAAAUGUCUAGACGGAUGAGAGCCAAGUAUUGUAAAAAGCAAAGUAUUUAUCGAUAUUGAGUAGAAUCCGUAGUAGGGCUUCCAUUACAUAAUUUGAAUGAUUCACUAGUAGAGAGGGGAGUUGUAACUUCUUUUGCAUCAUGUAUGUUUAUCUUUGAUAAUAAAUCUUGAAUAUACUUUCUUUGUGAUAGGAAGAGACUUAAAGAUGUAAACUUUACUUUAACUCCUAGAAAGUAGCUUAAGAUUCUUAGAUCUUUGAGGGAGAAUUGAAUGACCAAUUAUUUUAUGAAUGCCCGAGUCUCCAAUGGAUUAUUGCCCAUGAUAAUAAUAUCAUCCAUAUACAUCAGAAGAUAUAUUGUACUUUCAUUUUGUUGUCGUAGGAAUAACGAGGUAUUAGACUUGGAAUUGACGAAGCCAAUUAAUAUAAAAAAUAAGCCAAGUUAAAUAUACCAAGCUCUUGGAGUUUGACGAAGUCCACAAAUAUCUUUUUGUAGUUUACAAACAUGCCUCAGAUACUAAGGAUGAACAAGACAAAGAAAUUGUUGUAUAAAAACAUUUUUAGUUAGAGACCCAUAUAAAAAUGUAUUGUUAACAUCCAAAUGUCGUAGUUGCUAGCCUUUUGAGAUGGUUAAACUUAGGAUAAGUCAGAUUGUUAUGGAUUUAACAAUAAGACUAAAUGUCUCUAAGAAAUUGACACAGGUCGUUGAUGAAACUCUUUGGUGACUAAACGUGCUUUAUAUCUACCAAUGGAUCCGUUUGGGUUUCGCUUAAUUCGAAAAACUCAUUUACUCCCGAUGACAUUUUAUGGAUGAUGAAAGGGUACUAGGGUCCACGUAGAGUUAUGGAGGAGAGCAUCAUAUUCUUGACACAUGGCUUUACGUUGGUGAGAAGAUUUUUGAGCUUGAGUAAUUGCAGUGGGUUCACUAGUCUUAGGGGAGGAGUUUGUUAUAGCAUGUAGGUUAAGGACUUGAUGUGGUAUGAAAAUAUCACUUUUGGAGCAUAUUGUCAUUGGAUGUCUAGAGGCUAUGGAAGUGGUAGGUUGUGUUGUCGGUAUAUUCGGUGGUGAGUCACUGACAUGGGUCGGGCCCGCUUGCGACACUUGAAUGUCAUUAGGUCUAAGAGAAGGUAAAGCCAGUGGUGAUGUUGUCAAGGGUAUUGCUUCAUCAAUAGGGGAAAUUUGGGAGGAAGGGAGUGGAGAAGUAAUCGAGGGAGUGAGGAGCUGUUGAACCGGGUAACAAUGGUGUGCGGAUCCUGAAGGUAAAGACUGGAUGGUGUCGUAGGAGGUUCGUGUGAUGGGAUCGAAGGGAUACUCCAGUGAUGUUUGUUUUGUCGGAGUAGCCUGCACGGUAGGAUGGUUUUGAAAAGGAAAGAUAGACUCCAUAAAAAUAACAUGAUGUGAUAUAAAGACAUUUUGAGUUUGGGGUUAGAAAGCAUUAUGUUCAAGAUAAUAUCCUAUAAAAGUGCAAGGCUUAGAUCAUAGUGUCAGUUUAUAUGAGGCAUAAGGACAUAGCCAUAGAUAACAUAAACAAUCAAAGACUUUGAGUUUCUGGAGGUUUGGAAGCUUGUGAAAUAGUUUUUCAAACGAUGACUAGUAUUGCAUAAAUGAAGUGAGCAUACGAUUAAUGAGAUAGACUGUGGUUUGAAAAGCUGCUGACCAAAAGGUUGGUGGCAUAGAUGCUUGAUGUAAAAGUAAGAGAUCAAUUUCAACUAUAUGCCGAUGUUCACAUUCGGUAGAGCUAACUAAUUGGGGAGUAUAUAGAGAUGACUUGAGGUGUUGUAUACCAUAAGCUGAGAUGCAAGAUGUGAGGACUUAAUAUUCGCUUUCGCCAUCAGAGUAAACUGUUCUAAUAGAAGAUUGAAAAAAAUUCUCGACCAACUUUCUAAAGUUAGUAAAGAUUAUUGAAACAUUAGAUUUAUGGUGGAGAGGAUAGAACCAUGUGUACUUAGUGAAAUAGUCAACAAAAAUGAUAUAAAAUAUGAACUUGUCAAAAGAAGAGGUUGAGGCAAAGCUCCAAACGUUUAUAUAAAUAAUUUCAAAUGGUUUAGAGCAAGAUAUGGAUGAUAUUCCAAAAGAUACUUUAUGACUUUUAUUAUUAAGACAAGCAUCACAAUGAGUAAUAGUGCUACUAGUUUUAAAAGUAUGAAGAGAAUAAUGAGAAAGCAAUUUUUGCUGGAUAAAGAAUGAGGGGUGAUUAAGACGACGAUGCCACACAUCAACUAGAUCUGCAACUGAAGAGUGAACAAUAGGCUAGGUAAUUUAUGAAGCUGAUGGCUACUCAUAAAUGUUGUCUUUGCUCGGGCCUUGAACUAAGGAUGCCCCUGUGCUAUCUAUGUUAUCCAUAGUUAUGUCUCAAUGCCUCCCAUAAGAUAAUAUCAAGAUCUAAACUUUGCGUCUUCAUAGGAUACUCUCUUAAACAUAAUGCUUUCCAAUACUACAACCCUCAAACCCAAAAAGUCUUUAUAUCACGUCACGUUAUUUUUGUGAAGUCUACCUUUCCUUUCCAAAAUCAUGAGUCUCCUACCGUAUAAGCCACUCCGACAAACAUUCAUCACUGGAGUAUACCUCUGAUCCUACCGGAUGAGCCUCCCAUGUCACUGUCUAGUUCUUCCCCUCAAGAUCCACACUCCACUACUACUCCAGUUCAACAGCUGCCCAUUCCCUCCAUUACUUCUCUACUCCCUUCUUCUCAAGUUUCCCCCAUUGAUGAGGCAAUACAUUCAGAAACACAACCAUUGUCGUUACCUCCUAAACCCAACGACAUUGAAGUACCUCAACCUGACCCGACCCAUGUCAAUGACUCUCCACCGCCUAUACUAGCAACACAACUUCACAAUCUCAUAGCCUUCGGACAUCCAAUGACAAUAUGCUCCAAGAGUGGUAUUUUUAAACCACGUCAAAUCCUUGAUCUACAUCCUAUCACAAAAUUCUCAUCUAAAACCAUUGAACCCACCAUAUUCACUCAAGCCCAAAAAUCUUCACACUGGUGUAAAGCCAUAUGUGAAGAAUAUGAUCCUCUCCUCUAUAACUCAACAUAGAACCUUGUACCCUUUCAUCACAUAUAAAAUAUCAUCGGGUGUAAGUGGCUCUUUCGAAUUAAGCGGAACCUAGAUAGAUCCGUUGCUAGAUAUAAAGCACGUUUAGUCACUAAAGGGUUUCAUCAACGACCUGAUAUUGAUUUCACCGAGACAUUCAGUCUCAUUGUUAAACCCACAACAAUUCGACUUAUCAUGAGUUUGACCACUACUAAAUGUUGACAAUUAUGACAAUUGGAUGUUAACAAUGCCUUUUUACAGGGGACUCUAAUUGAAAACAUCUUUAUGCAGCAACCUCCUAGUUUCAUCGAUCCUCAAUCUCCAAGACAUGUUUGCAAAUUAUAAUAAGCUAUUUAUUGACUUUGUCACUCUCCAAGAGCCUAGUACACUGAAUUUGGCUCUUUUUUACUUCAAUUGGCUUUAUCAACUCAAAGUCUAAUACCUCGUUAUUUCUACGACGACAAAAUGAAAACACAGUAUAUCUUCUGAUAUGUGUGAAUGAUAUUAUUAUCAUGGGUAAUAAUCCUAUAGAGAUCUAAGCAUUCAUCAAGCAAUUAGCUGAUCGAUUCUCCCUUAAAGAUCUAGGAACUUUGAGCUACUUUUUGGGAGUGAAAGCAACAUAUACAUUUUCAAGUCACUUCCUAUCACAAAAAAAGUAUGGCUCCUUACAGUACGUAGCUCUCACCUAGCCAAACAUCUCAUUUAUGGUUAAUAAAUUAUCACAAUUUAUGCAUCGGCCAUCUACUAUCUAUUGGUAUGCAGUCAAACGAUUCAUGCAAUAUCUUAAAGGGACCCUCAAUCAUUGUCUCUUUCUCCGCAAACACUCCACUACCCUCAGGUAGGAAAUUUUGAUGAUAGAAUAUCCAUGUUGGGGUAUAUUGUCUUCCUUGGAACUAAUCCAAUCAGUUGGAGUUCUAAGAAGUAAAAGACAAUCAUAUAGUCUACAAUUGAAGUUGAAUACAAUGUCAUCGCCAUUGUUGUUGAAGAACUCAAUUGAGUUACGAAUCUGCUUAACGAACUCAACAUCGACUUCACUCUUACUUCUACAAUCUAUUGUGAUAAUGUCAGAACUACCUACCUAUGGGUCAAUCCAGUGUUCCGAAAUUAUUGUCAUCGACUUCCACUUCAUGCGAGAUCAAGUUGUCUGACAUCAACUACGAGUUUCUCAUGUAUAUUUGGCUGAUCAACUAGCAGACUCACUCAUGAAGCAUCUCACCCAUAAACUAUUUUCAUUACAUCAGUCUAAGAUCGACAUUUUUUAUAGGAACACUAUCUUACAGGGGCAUGAUAGCAAUAAAAUUUUCUUAAAUGCAUAAGAAAAUCUCGCUGCUUUCUUGAGGAAAAUCCUCUCUCCUAACCUAUAUAAAUAGGGAGAACAUAUCAAUAAAUUUCAACAAAAAAAAUAUAUCUUCUAUAACUUUCUAAGUUGUCAGUUAAUGAUUUUGCCUCCUGGUCUCCUAAAUCCUCUUCACAAAUGAAUUCAACUCAUACGAGUGGUAUCCCAUUUAGACCCUAAUACUUCCAUAACCAAAUUCCUGAUAUUAGCUUAAUGCAUGCAAAUUUCUUUUUCUUAAAUUCUUGUGAAUAGUUCUCAACAAAUCUCUUUGAAGGUAUGCCCUUACGCUGCAUCAGUGCCGGUGCCUAAUUGAUACUCGCAAAGUUGCUGCAAGUUUUGGUACGUUAGGAACAAGCCAUCUUACUCAUGCAGAUAAACAACUCGUUUGUUUACCUGAGUUCAUGGUUUGGUUGAGAAUUCUUUCACGUAUCUUCGAAGAAGAGCAAGCUUGGAUUCUCUCUUGGACGUACUUCGGAAGACUAAUUCGACAAGCCUGGUGAUGUCGUCAAGACCCACGUCCGAAACUUCUGCGCAGAAACACCCUUAUCGACCGCCAAAACAUCGGAUCUCCAAAUGUCCCCAUCUUCCUCCGCGAUCACACCGCACGAAACCAAAGCUGACACGAGCAAAUGGCUCAUGUCAGGGAGCACCAAAGGAUCCUUUACGUUUCUGGACAUCUUCGCGAUCCUCGAAGAAUGCCCCAUGACCCAGCAGAUCCAGAAAAGCAUGAGCACCUCUCCCGGCACGAGAGACCCGCCCACCUUAUCAUCGUCGUCGGCAUCGGGAUCCAACUCCAAGCCGCAAGGAUCUCCGGCUUCCCGGGAUAGGGCGGCGUACAAUCUGUAUAGCACGUUGAUGGAUCGUGAGGCGAGCAUCCUGCCGCAGCACCGGUUGUAGCCACUCAAGAAGCCAAUCCAAUCAAUACGACCGUCAGCACCAUCAUCGGCAAUGGGGAAGAAGAGCGAGACCAGGGUUGUGCCGAGAUUGUUCGACAGGGCAGGGAAGUGCUACGGCACUGGCGAUCACAAAAUAAUACAUAUUUUCAUAUUAAACGGGUGGCAAUUAAUGUAUAAUUGUUCAUGCGAAUGCUUAAAUAGAUCAGAUGGACAUAGAUAAAUAACAUGGACUGUUUAUACCAUUUUAAUCUCAAUUAUUAGACUAGAUAAUGAUAUAUCAGGCAUGGUGACAACAAGGUCAGCCGAUCAAGGAACAUUUCCUGAAUGAUAAAAGCUCCACAAUCAAUGCAAAAUGUUUGAAAUGAUAAUAUUUAUUGGGAUAACCUUAUUCUUACACACAACAUAUUCCAGCAAGGAAAUGACAGAGAUUACCUGUAGUUAUUAAUAAAUAUUCUUCGCUAUUAUACACUGGCACAAACACACACGAUCACAAGUAUACAUAGCAGCAGUAUCAAUUCAAGAUUGCAUCAAGAAGCCUCGAGAACCAGAGAGUUUGGGCAUGCACCAGAUCAUCAUCUUCCAUAUUCGAUGUCUAAUCCCAAUCUUUUCUCUGGAUUAUAGCUAGUAGUGGUUUCAAUUCCAUGAUAAUAUGUCUCAUGGUCAACCGAUGGUUGACUGAGCAAGCUCUCAAUCUCCUCAGUAUUCUGCGGUACCCACGGGUGCUGCUUGAAUUUUCUCAACCUGCCAAGCUCUUCCGCCACUUCCUUCAUCGUAGGCCUUUCUUCUCCCCUAAAGUUCAAGCAUUGCUCUGCAAGCUUGCUCAUUUCUUGAAUCAAUUCCAUAUCCCCUUCAUUUCUAAUCUGAUCAUCCAAGAUCUCCAUAAGUCGGUUCUCCUUCGUGGCCAGAAUAAAACUUGAUGCGAGGCUCCCCUCUUCUUCAGAUGCUUGAAAAUAAACUGCCUUCUUGCGGGUCAUCAGCUCCAGAAGCACUACGCCGAAGCUAUAGACAUCACUUUUGUCUGUCAACUUGCAGGUUUGGAGGUACUCUGGGUCCAAGUAACCACAAGUCCCUUGCACCAAGGUCGCAAACUGAUCCUCAUCUUUUGGAACCAGCUUCGAAGCUCCAAAAUCGGAAACUUUUGCUGUAUAGUUUUCAUCUAAAAGGACGUUGGAAGACUUCACGUCACCAUGAAUGAUGGGAGGCGAAGCCGAUGAAUGCAAGUAGGCCAGAGCUUCGGCAGACUCAUGAGCGAUCCUCAAGCGAGUGGCCAAGGAAAAGGGAGAUGCACUGUUGUUGUCGUGGAUCAGCUGAAACAAGGUCCCGUUCCAGACAAACUCAUAAACCAGCAUUGGAACCUCCACUUCCAAGCAACAACCCAAGAGCUUGACUAUGUUCUUGUGGUUGAUCUGCGAUAGAAUAAGCAACUCUUUUCCAAAUUCGUUCUUUUGUCUCUCAUCAAUGAUCUUGGGUUUCUUGAUGGCAACGAUACGACUAUCCUCCAAGACUCCUUUGUAAACGGUGCCCUGUCCUCCUCUGCCAAGGACUCGGUUCUGAUCAUACUUCUCUGUAGCUUUUUCUAAUUCUUCUUUGGCAAAUAUCUUAAAUGCAAGACCUUGUUCUCUAAAGUAUCUUUCUUUAGCCUUGAUCUCUUCCAAUAAUAUCCAACCUCCAUGUUCUCUAAAAUAUCUUUCCUUAAUCUUGAUGAAUUUUCUUCUUUGAAGAAUCACAUAGAUACACAUGCCGGAUAUUAGUAGGAAGAUCAAGCCGCUGCAACCUGGAUCUCAUAAAAUUUCAGGUCAGUUAAAACCAGGAAGAAAAACAAAAAUUAUAUUUUUUAUGCACAUUAUUUUGGUUUUAUGGUUACCGAUAACAAUAAGCAUUUCUGCAUUUCUGCUGCUAUUAUCCUUGAUGUUUUUUUUUCUCUGUUUCGUUUGCAGUUUCUACGGUAAUACCAUGAAAGGAUUAUUUUUAAUUAUAUAACUAGAAUAAAUGCAGUCAAUACGAGAACUGUAGAUAACUCAUCAUAUUAAAUAUAAUAUUAAAGAACAUUAUUUCCCUUAACUUUUAAUAGGUUUAAGCACAUACUUACCUAAAGUAGAAAAUAACUAAUUAUAUAUUAUCUCAUAUAAUUAGUCACUUUUAAUAUUCUAAUUCUUAUAUUUUUAAAAAUUAUAUUUCACUUACAAAAGUGAAAUAUUUAAUUUCAUUUCUCCAUAUAUUGUUGACUCUGCUGACAGAAAUACCACACGUACUUAGUGGUAAACUAAAAUUAGACACAGUUAGUAUGUAUUCAGUAUUAAACACUAUGAUAUUUUCGUUAGCAUAGAGUUGAUGACAUGAGGAGAAACAAAGUUAAAUAUUUCAAUUUCAUAAGUAUAUAAAUUCUAAUAUAAUUUUUAAAAGUACAAGUAUCAAGAUAUUAAACAUAGCUAAUUAUAAAAAUUAAUAUGUAAUUAGUCCGAAAAAAAAGGUACAACCUUCAAGUCUGUACUCAUUGUUGAAGUUGAAAAAUAAAAAAUAAAAAUUAAGGACCUUCAAGAAGAGGGAUAAAUAAGGAGAUUUAUUAAUCACAAAAGUUCUUUGAGGUUCUGCAACCGAAGUCGGUUCCAUCUAUGCUGUUAAAAGCAGUACUGGCAAAUCUGAAUUUAACAUAUUAUUGAUCUUUCGCAAGUAAAUACGAUAAAAAAUUCAUCAGCUACUUGGAGAUGAUACAAGACAACAGAAUAUAAGAUUGAACCAGGCUAUUCUUUUUAGUCCUCUCUAUAAGAUACACCUAGUCUAUAGUGCAGACAGAUUAAAAGGAUUCGAAGCAAUAAAUAAAAUUCAUGAAAAGAAAGGGAACAAAAGAAUUCAUUUGUAAUACUUGGCAUCAAAAGUCAUGGUGGAAAAAAGACUCUUUACCUAUAGCCACCUUCGCUGAUGAUGGAAGUUUCUGGUGUUGGGUGUGGGUGCAUGUUCCAGUGAAAGCAUCACCAUAUGUACCUCGCGGGCAGAAACAACUGUAGUUACCGGGCAGGUUCUGGCAGAUGCCAUGGCAAGGAUAUCGAUAUUUAUCAGAACAUUCGUCGAUGUCUGCAAUUAAGACAUGUUCGGAAGUAUUAGAAACAAUCGUGAAAACUCAAAAGGCAAGCAGAUCCCAGAAAGAGACGAGACUUAACAGACCUUGGCAGCCAUGAGAGACAUAAGGAUUGCCAUGGUAGCCACUCGAACAGUUACAAAGAUACCCAGGACCAUUGGAAGAGUUCAAACACUCGCUGUGCUCGCUGAUGCAGGCGUAGGAGGUUAUGUUGCGCUGUGCAACCUCGCAUGUCUCGUUUCCGAUCGCCCAAUCCACCACCAAAGGUGCCGUGCCGUUUCUGUUGUACCAGAAUUUGGUCGUUGUGAUGUAAGAUGCUAGGAACUCAAACUGAUUCGCCUCCAACAAUACGGCAUAGCUGCAGUCACUGAAGUUCCAGGUGCUCGAGAUGUUCAAAUUUGAAUCAAACCAGACCUCAUAGUAUGUGAGGUCCUUGGGAAUGGAGGUUUGGCAGCAGCCGAUGCCGGAGCAUGAUGAGCUGUUGACCAAACUCACCUCGUUUUGACACGCAGACACGCAACCGCUCCGGUAGCUGCCGUUC
rnacentral:lncRNA from 1 species